AAAUGAUGCUAAACUUCCUACCCCGGUGCUUGACUGUGCUGAAAACCUAUCCAGUCCUCACUAAGUUCUUCAUCUAGUCACUGAGCAUGAGUCAGUCACUGUGUAGUGGAGGAAGGCUCAUCAGAAGCAGAGCUCUCUUCAGAUCUUCCAAAGCAAUGGGCAAUGAGUGUACCAAAGGACAUAAAUGACCAUGGCCCAGAAGGGGACCUGGACAGGCACUAGACAAAUGGAUGAUAUUUCUGAAAAUAUCUCUGGAUACCAUAAUUAAGAUCCAUUCACGAUAGACUCCAUCACCUUUUGCAUCAGCUAGAGAUGGCAAGCUAAAUAUUUAGGAAGCUGGUUAAUUUUCUCAGUGGAAAGUUCAACAUCCAACUGCAUCAUGGCAAGCCCCACUAUUCAAUACAAGCUGGAGGAUGAAAGGAUUGAGCACAGCCCUGACAAAAAAGACUUGGAGGUACUGGUGGAUGGCAAACUGGACAUGAGUCAGCAGUGUGCUCUCACAGUCCAGAAAGUCAACCAUAUCCUGGACUGCGACAAAAGAAAUGUGGCUAGCAGGUCAAGGGAGGUGAUUCUGCCCCUCUACUCUGUGUUCGUGAGGCUUCACCUGGAGUACUGAGUCCAGAUAAGGAGUCCUCAGUAUAGGAGAGACAUGGACCUGUCAGAGCGUGUCCAGAAGAGGUCCACAAAAAUGAUCCAAGGGAUGGAACACUUCCCCUGUGAGGACCAGUUCAAUCUAGAGAAGAGAAGGCUGUGAGGUGACUUGAUAACAGCCUUUAAGUAUCUGAAGGGGAUAGGAAAGAAGGGGACAGACACUUUAGUAGGGUCUGUGGUGACAGGACAAUAGGAAAUGGUUUCAAACUAAAAAGGGGA
ensembl:lncRNA